UCCCUCCCUCUGAAGCCCCUCUGUGUGGGGAACAUGACAGCCAGACCAAAGCUCAGAGGACCCAUCACAGACCAGGACCAGGACCUGGACCUGGACCCAGCUGUGUGUCCAUGAAGAGAAACCGGUCUAUGAGUCCUCCUCCAAACUUCAAAGAUGUUGCUCCCUCUGUUGAUGCAAGUUCACAUCAGCAGAGAGGAAAGUCUCCUGAACCCAGAUGUUUGUCCAUGAAGAGUG